UAGGGGAAAAAGCAAAACAAGCAAUGUGACGAUAACAAGGAUUUACUAGAGAGCAGGAAACUUCCACCACCAUUUUCCCUCCCCAUUCCAGCAACUGUCCCGAGAUAUCUGGGCACACGUCACGCGGCGGGAGCUGUGGCUGUGUGAAGUUGUCUCCGGACACUGGACAAGGCUUUCACCUGGUCGUGCAUAAAAGCCUUGAGGCAUCAGAUGGUCUCCUGCCUGCCCUGUGUACCAUAUAAACUGUGAGGAAGCAAAUCAGUAAGCUGCCAAACUUUUGGAAGAAGACACCUCUCCUGUCUCCUCCAGAGCUCUCCGACUAGGCUAUGAUGAGAACUUCAGCACCAACAGUCACAGUGAGAUUCCACCUCAAUUGGCUCUUACCUCCAGAAGACAGCAGAAAAGCCACCUUUCUCCAGGAGCGGUCCGGGUCCUGGAAAGGCUGGAGCUGCAUCAAGCAGGCUGGGACAUAUUCAAGCACGUCACUGAGACCAACAGGCAGCAGCAAGAGCUGCAGCGGCAGCCGCCCUGAGGCCUGGCACCAAGACGUCUUGCCCCGAGGGGGGAAUACCUGUUUGGGACAGCCAAGGUCUCGCCCCACCUGACUCAGCCCCAGGCUGAUCCGCUGCACGGAAGGCAGAAGGGGCAGUAUGGAAGAGGAGCAACACAGUAACUGAGCUCUUGGGAACCUACUUGCAGAAGCCCCUCGCCGCUCCCGGCCCACCCGUGCGUAACCACACAGCAUCACGCUGCGCCCCUGAAAGUAAGGCUGGGGCAGGGGAGGGCACCGGCCCGACCUG